rnacentral:tRNA from 2 species
AAUAAAGUGCCUGAUAAAAGGAUUAUUCUGAUAGGAUAAAUUAUGUAAAA